rnacentral:rRNA from 1 species
UGGGGAAUAUUGGACAAUGGGGGCAACCCUGAUCCAGCCAUGCCGCGUGUGUGAAGAAGGCCUUUUGGUUGUAAAGCACUUUAAGCAGUGAAGAAGACUCCAUGGUUAAUACCCAUGGACGAUGACAUUAGCUGCAGAAUAAGCACCGGCUAACUCUGUGCCAGCAGCCGCGGUAAUACAGAGGGUGCAAGCGUUAAUCGGAAUUACUGGGCGUAAAGCGAGCGUAGGUGGCUUGAUAAGUCAGAUGUGAAAGCCCCGGGCUUAACCUGGGAACGGCAUCUGAUACUGUUAGGCUAGAGUAGGUGAGAGGAAGGUAGAAUUCCAGGUGUAGCGGUGAAAUGCGUAGAGAUCUGGAGGAAUACCGAUGGCGAAGGCAGCCUGCUGGCAUCAUACUGACACUGAGGUUCGAAAGCGUGGGUAGCAAACA